UAUGGCCCUAUCACAUUGAAACACUUGUUCCCAUACGAUCACUGAAGUUAAGAAUGUCAAGCCUGGACAGUACUUAGAUGGGUAACUGCUCAGGAAUACCAGGUGCUAUA